rnacentral:tRNA from 1 species
GGGGAUUUGGCUCAGUGGUAGAGCGCUUGCCUAGCAAGUGCAAGGCCCUGGGUUCGGUUCCCAGCUCUG